UUCUACGGGAGGCAGCAGUGGGGAAUAUUGCACAAUGGGCGAAAGCUGAUGCAGCGACGCCGCGUGAGGGAUGACGGCCUUCGGGUUGUAAACCUCUUUCAGCAGGGACGAAGCGCAAGUGACGGUACCUGCAGAAGAAGCACCGGCUAACUACGUGCCAGCAGCCGCGGUAAU
rnacentral:rRNA from 1 species